rnacentral:rRNA from 1 species
AACGAACGCUGGCGGCAUGCCUAACACAUGCAAGUCGAACGAGACCUUCGGGUCUAGUGGCGCACGGGUGCGUAACACGUGGGAAUCUGCCCUUUGCUUCGGAAUAACAGUUAGAAAUGACUGCUAAUACCGGAUGAUGUCGAAAGACCAAAGAUUUAUCGGCAAAGGAUGAGCCCGCGUAGGAUUAGGUAGUUGGUGGGGUAAAGGCCUACCAAGCCGACGAUCCUUAGCUGGUCUGAGAGGAUGAUCAGCCACACUGGGACUGAGACACGGCCCAGACUCCUACGGGAGGCAGCAGUGGGGAAUAUUGGACAAUGGGCGAAAGCCUGAUCCAGCAAUGCCGCGUGAGUGAUGAAGGCCUUAGGGCUGUAAAGCUCUUUUACCAGGGAUGAUAAUGACAGUACCUGGAGAAUAAGCUCCGGCUAACUCCGUG